GGGAAACAGAAGCUCCAGAGGGAAAGGAGCUUCCCCCCCCCCUUCUAUUAGUGACCAGGGGAAAGUACAGCUACAGAGAGAGCUUCACCUGCUUAAGCUUUCUAACCAGAAAUCCUCCAAGUCCAAGAGAUGCUUUGAGGAGUCAUCAGAACUAUAUACAAACUCCAAAUUUGGUGAGGUACCUGGACUGAACUGAAAGGAGAGGGAGGGCAGGGGAAAGGCCUCCUACCUCUUGACAAGGACUCUGCUCAAGGAUCGUAUAUGCCAUUGAUCCCCCUCUACUGAAGACUUUGCAAAGAGAUGACUCAAAGACAAUGAUGCAGAAACAGGCCAGAAGCAGCUCUUUGCUGAAGCUGCAGAGGGCUGCAGCAGAGCUGUGUGAGCUCCAGUGAGGGGCCCCCUACUCAGAACCAAUAAACCUGAAAUCACUACAGCUGGGUUAGGUGGCAGAGCCUCAGGACUGGACCAGGGAGUAAUUCCCCUAGGAGCUGGAGAGCAGCUUGUCUGACUGCACUUCCAGACCCUGGAGCCAUGCUACCUACCGAUACCAAGUGAAACUAGGAAACAUUGGAUAGAAGACCUUUCAUUGGGGGGAGGAGCAACCCUUGUGGAAGCAUUGGAAAGACUUUGGCCUACUGGGGCUCCUCAAAAAACUGAUGGAUGAACUCUGAGAAAGGUUACCCACAGUUGCUGGACCUCUGCGAGAUCUGCUGGGGAAAUCACCGCAAAGUGCAGAGGGACUGCAAGACUAAACCCAUGUUCUGGAGAAAGAGACAUGACUUUGCCCAAGAGAUGUGAUGGGUAGGAAGACUGAAACCUUUAAAUGGGUGCCCUGCAGGAGAAACAGGAGGUGGGGUCAAAGGUGCAAUUAACCUUGAAACUGUGACUUAUAUUGUGGUAGUGAGUAUGAUCUAUGACAGUAGGGAAUUGUCAGUAAAGUGCCAAGAACUGUGAAAGCAAGUAUUGUAGAAGAGAAAGCAAUGCACAGGCCCUGGCCAUGAGGCAGGCUGGAUUGCUGGGAAUAUCACAGUGUUUGGUGGGAACUGUGAACCCUUAAAAUCCCCCCCGGUCAGAAAGGAAUGGGAAAAGGGUCCCUACCCAGAGACAACUGAUGGCUGGAGGCCUGAGGCUUGGCUGGGCACUCCUGGAGUGGACCAUGGAGGGGGAAAUACAGGUGCAGUUCCCUUGAAACUGUGGGAUGGGGGCACACAGAGCCCCUGGCAUGGGAAAAGGUGGAAAUGAAAGGUAUGCGUGGAAUUAGAAAAGAGAGUUCACAGAGAGCUGCUGGCAUGGGGGAGAGUAUGGGGACCUUCAUAGGAAGGAGGGGAAAUGGGGACACAAACCCCCUUCCAGUACCUUUUUUUCCAUUCCCUCUUGACCCUUGAGUCACUAAGGGUCCCUGGCCACAAGCUUUAAGAGGAGCUUUCAUGGACUCAGGGGAAUGAGCCCAUGUGGUUUCAGGGGCCUCUUAACUUUUAUACCCUUUUUUGUUUUCCUCCAUGCCACACAGUCAAGAGCCUGCAUGAUUUUGAAAUGUGGUUGUAUUAGAAUUCUUUGAAGCAUACUUGAUGCUGUUACACAUUUUUAUAGAUUCAAUAAUAAAAAAAUGCAUUUAAACAA